GUCGCCGCACAAUCGGCGACCGGGUUUGACAGCCCGUAUAGGAGGCGCACCAGCGCCCAUCGAUCGAUGCACGGCGCUUUUUUU
rnacentral:sRNA from 1 species